CGCCUUUCCAGUGUCUCGCCAGAUCUGGGUUUCUCUCGCCAAACCUUCGGCUACCAUUCUCCCAAAAGCCUCCCCGUAACGCUUAAUUUAUGGUUACCUUACUCUCAUCUCCACUUCAAUACAUUCUCAGUUUAAAUCUGUUCCAAUUCUCUUUUUGAAGGCGUUCAAUUUAUCACCAAACUGAAGCUAAAAAAAUGGGGAUUUCCCAAUUAUACAUUUCCGACUUCGAGAUUGGUCGUUUUGAGGACGUGGUGGUGACACGUCUUCUUCAAUUCUGGGAGUCGGUACUCUGAAGAAAGGAGGCGAGGUUAUUGUUGGUGAACAUAGUAUUGCUUGACAAGAAGUCGACGAUGAUACAAGGUACCAUCACCGCACAUCGGCUCUACAGUUUUAAAAAUCUACUGAGUGAAGGCACUGUCUACAAGCUUAGUGUGUUCUAUGUUGCUAGAAGCAAUAAUCACUUCAAACUGUGCGCCUCUUCUGUCUGUAUUUGAUUUACCGAGCAUACCAGCUUUGUCGAGGUUGUCGAUCCAACGGCUGAAAAAAAAUCAGGUUUUGCAAGUAUGAGCAGCUAAUGGCUCUCGCUAACACCAACGUAGAUUUGCCCGAUAUUUUUGGUCAGGAUAGGAGUAUACAAACCAUCUACAAUGACGAAAACGAGUCGAUACAGAGUGUUAUGGUCACAAUCCAGCUGGACAGGUCAACCACUGUGUGUCGUGUGUUUGAUAAGGUUGCAUGACAAGUUAGUACUCUUGGAUGUGGAGACAAAAGGUCGCUUAGUCCUAAACGUCACAUUAGGGACACAGUUCUACUUUUAUCAUGAAAGCCAAGCCACUCAGUGUUUCUUAAAAGAGUCUGUUAUAUCUUUCUACAAUUAGUUACUACUUCACGAUUAUUACGGCGUUAGUUCCCACAUUAAACAUACCAGAUGCAGGCUCUGCAGAGCAGAGAGUGGUUCCUCUGGUAUAUCUUCCAAAAUAUGGUGGUGUUAAGAAACUUGAAUCUGUCAGACUCACUAAACUUAAUAUCUACGUUCUGAAUUCACCCCUACAGGUACGUUCACUGAAUAAGGAUCACUGUUAUUAUUGCAUUUAGCUCAGUUCUCAUGUGUACUGUCACAACAUGACCAAUUUACAUAUGUUGUUAUUUUUUUGUUGUCUCUCCUUUUUCAUACUACGCACAACUAACCAAUCAAAAUGUCUCUCACUUGAAAAUAAGAGACUUUUUUGCUGCAUACUUUCUGCGUUUGCUCAUUUAUCUAGGCUUCACAUUUGAAAAAAAAUAUUGUCAGCAACUGUGGAGUUUCUAAUAUAGCACCACACAAGUGAUGAUAUGUCUGUAGCUGUUAAACUUUCUAUGGUCCCAAAUCCAGUGGUGAAAAGCAGUUGUUCGUAUCACACAAACGGGCCAGAUGAUGUUCCAAUUAUUGAAGGAUGUCCAGCCAGCACUGACCCAGAGCCUGCACAUACUGAUUCAAUCCUGACCUCCACCUAGACUCCCAUUGAUGAUGAAAAGGCCCCCAGUUCAAAGUAAGCUCGAAAUACUGAUCACUCCAACUAUGGAGACUUGGAAUUUGCAAAAUUCAAUUCAAUUGUUUGUUUCAAAAUUUUAUGUUUUUCUUCAAUAAUGUUGUAAUCCACGUACUUUUACUUAGUACCAAAGUGUUUUUAUUUACUUAUCUUUGGUACAAUGCCAUUGAAAUAGUUGAGUUUAUUAUGAGCAUUAUUUAAUUUGAAUUAUUUUUAAAUUAGUGGACGU